rnacentral:tRNA from 1 species
GGGAAUGUGGCUCAGUGGUAGAGCUUCUUGUCUGUACACUUCUGAAUAAUUUUAUUUAGCAUACAGAAAAUCCUGACCCUAGAUUCAAAUCCCUAGCAUUCCUA